rnacentral:rRNA from 1 species
UGACACUGAACAUUGAGCCUUGAUGUGUAGGAUAGGUGGGAGGCUUUGAAGCGUGGACGCCAGUCUGCGUGGAGCCGACCUUGAAAUACCACCCUUUAAUGUUUGAUGUUCUAACGUGGACCCGUAAUCCGGGUUGCGGACAGUGUCUGGUGGGUAGUUUGACUGGGGCGGUCUCCUCCUAAAGAGUAACGGAGGAGCACGAAGGUUGGCUAAUCCUGGUCGGACAUCAGGAGGUUAGUGCAAUGGCAUAAGCCAGCUUGACUGCGAGCGUGACGGCGCGAGCAGGUGCGAAAGCAGGUCAUAGUGAUCCGGUGGUUCUGAAUGGAAGGGCCAUCGCUCAACGGAUAAAAGGUACUCCGGGGAUAACAGGCUGAUACCGCCCAAGAGUUCAUAUCGACGGCGGUGUUUGGCACCUCGAUGUCGGCUCAUCACAUCCUGGGGCUGAAGUAGGUCCCAAGGGUAUGGCUGUUCGCCAUUUAAAGUGGUACGCGAGCUGGGUUUAGAACGUCGUGAGACAGUUCGGUCCCUAUCUGCCGUGGGCGCUGGAGAACUGAGGGGGGCUGCUCCUAGUACGAGAGGACCGGAGUGGACGCAUCACUGGUGUUCGGGUUGUCAUGCCAAUGGCACUGCCCGGUAGCUAAAUGCGGAAGAGAUAAGUGCUGAAAGCAUCUAAGCACGAAACUUGCCCCGAG